GGGUUAGUGUAUACUUACGUUGUUGCAGUUAAAAAGCUCGUAGUUGGAUUUGAGGUGUUCCUUUGGGAGUGCCGUGUUUGUGGGCUUGUUUCGCUGGCAUUGAGUUGUCGGUGUUUCGCGGUCCGCAUCGUUUACUGUGAAAAAAUUAGAGUGUUCAAAGCAUGUGUUUACAUUUGAAUACAUUAGCAUGGAAUAAUGAGAUACGACUUUUGGUCUAUUUUGUUGGUUUGCGUCCGAGAGUAAUGAUUAAUAGGGACAGUGGGGGGUAUUCAUAUUUGCGCGUCAGAGGUGAAAUUCUUGGAUCGCGUGAAGAUGAUCUUAGGCGAAAGCAUUUACCAUGGAUGUUUUCAUUAA
rnacentral:rRNA from 1 species